GUAUAGAAUAUAGUAGGUCUAGGGUUCGAGCUUGAAAAAGGGCUAACUUGUUUCAUUGUAAACCUGAGUGUGAUUGCAAGAGUUUGACGAGUAACCUAGUGUAGUGUAAUAACCCCCAAAACCAACAAUUUGUUCUAAUAAAGAAAUUAUGAUUGUGUUUCAAUCUUAUUCACUUACUGCCUAACGGUUGGCUGGUUCCUUCAGAUACUAUUCUCUUUAUUAACAGAGAAUCUCAU
rnacentral:lncRNA from 1 species